rnacentral:rRNA from 1 species
CCAGACUCCUACGGGAGGCAGCAGUGGGGGAUAUUGCACAAUGGGGGAAACCCUGAUGCAGCGACGCCGCGUGAGUGAAGAAGUAUUUCGGUAUGUAAAGCUCUAUCAGCAGGGAAGAAAAUGACGGUACCUGACUAAGAAGCCCCGGCUAACUACGUGCCAGCAGCCGCGGUAAUACGUAGGGGGCAAGCGUUAUCCGGAUUUACUGGGUGUAAAGGGGGCGCAGACGGCAGCGCAAGCCAGGAGUGAAAGCCCGGGGCCCAACCCCGGGACUGCUCUUGAAACUGCGCGGCUAGAGUGCAGGAGGGGCAGGCGGAAUUCCUGGUGUAGCGGUGAAAUGCGUAGAUAUCAGGAGGAACACCGACGGCGAAGGCGGCCUGCUGGACCGCGACUGACGUUGAGGCUCGAAAGCGUGGGGAGCAAACAGGAUUAGAUACCCCCGUA